ACCGAACCGUUUCAGUUCGAUUCAAUUCGAGCUGUUAGCCUGUGAGCCCUCGCUCCCUCUUCUUCUCUCGUCUUCGCACUAAACCAAAGAGAGCUUGUUUGUGCCACUUUUCAUUCACAGUAAACAGAGUUGUCUUCCGGAAUUUCUCUGCAACUCCUUUCGAUCAACACUAUACCAACCAACAAUUCUAAUCUGGUUCCCUCUCACUCAAUCAGUAGGAAGAAAAUGUUAGAGGCGAAGAGUUUGAGAAAAGUGAUCAUCCCUCCCACUCUCCUCCAGAACCCCUCCCCUGCAAAUCUCCAAUCUACUCGACUCGCAAUCCAUGUCAAGGAAGACAGCUCCGCUUGUUGGGUUUACAUUGCUUCUGGGUGCCACGUUUAUAAAGUUGAGGUAUCUAUGGAGGAUUGUUCAGUUACCAAGGGAAAGGAGAGCCUUCUGAUUCCUAUCCACGCACAGAUCAUUCAUUCGUCAAUAGUUAACUGCUGUCCACAUCGAUCUGAAAUUCAAAGUCUGGUGCUUGCUGAAACAGAGUGCCAUGGCUACUUUAAGUUGGGGACUGUUGAUUCUAAUGGUCAGCUUAUUGUAUCUCAACUAGAUGCAAGUGGCCAAGAUGUUGACAGGCUUUCAUAUUCAGUGUUGCCACGGGAUUGUGGUGUAGGCGAGGGUAGUUGGGCUGGUCUCUGCUUCAGUCCGAGUCAGUGGUCCAUGGUAGCUGUGGCUCGUAGCUUUUGUAAAAGUGUUGAUAUUUAUGACCAAGAUAUUCAUGUCCGAAGUUUAUCUCCCCUGUGGUAUCCAUCUUCAUUAAGUUUCUUACAAAGUUCAUUUUCUGGGGAUGGGAAUUCUGUAUUAGCUGUUGCAGAGGGCUGUCAGCUGACAAUAUGGGACUUGAGAGUUAAAGAGAAUGGUGGUUGUGUACAACGAAUCUGCGGUUCUCUUGGAGAUAUCUUCUAUGCCGUUUGCAGUUCUUCAGACGGGUUAAUUGCAGUUGGCGGAGCUGAUCGCACUGUCACCAUCUAUGACCCUCGCAGAUGGUCUCCUUUGUCAAGGUGGAAUAACUGCUCAAAAUAUGAGAUAACAGGACUUGCCUUCUCAUCACAUGACUCAGGUCAUAUCUACAUACAAGGUGUUGACCAUGAGGUCUUUUGUGGAAACUGGAAAGAAAAUAAGAAGGUGUUUUCAUUUAGAGGGGACUCCAACUGGCUAGGAUUUGGCAAGUGUAACAACAGGGAUGUUCUCGGAGGAUGGUGUGAUUCUGGUAGCAUCUUUGUGGCCAAUAUUUUUGCGAAGGAUCAUGAAGUUAACAUGCCUGAAUGAGGUGCCCCUAAGUCAAACUUACCAUUAGCUCAAACUGUAUUUCCUUGCAAGCCAUCAAACUCAGAAUGGUAGCAAAGCUUGGUUGAUUGGCUCCAUUUCUGCCGUAUGGCAGCUUAGUUGAUACUCAAAGUUGGUGGAGAUACCCGUGCCAUAUCCUACAAGUGGAAAUUCAUUUCGGUAGUUAGCUUGAUAAAGAUUUAGAGUAUCAUUAAAAAGUUCACUUUUUAAAGUAGUUAAAUUAUUUUGGACAAUUAUCUGUACAAAGGGAGAAAGUCCUAUAUAUGGUGGGUCAUACAAUUGUAGUGAAUCUGUGAAUUUGACGUUUGGUCAUCCAAUGAUUUAUCCAUUGGGAUGGUCGUUGUUGUAACAUGAGCACUGCAACCAGCCUGCUUGGGUGGAUGAGUGGGUCACCCAGGGAAGUGGAAGUUUUUCCUGUCUACAUCGAUUGUGGUCAACAAUCGUUAGUUCAAAACAUAAAAUAAGGCUAACUUGAGAAUUGACUCUACAGAUAGGUUAUCUCCAA